CACAUAUAAACUACUAUAGACCCACUGACUACCAUGGCUAUCUCGACUACACGUCUUCCCACCUUGCUUCCUGUAAGGACUCUAUCCCCUACUCUCAGUUCCUCUGUCUGCGGUGCAUCUGCACCCAGGAUGAGGUGUUCCAAAC